AUGGUCUUAUCCAUGCCACAUUUCGGACGAUGUGACUUCAAGAGCCUCCCGUGGUACAACAGGAAUCUCUAUAACCACGUGCUGUCAGGCUCUGCGGCCACAGAGCGGCCGGCUUACGAUAUCUCCAUUAAAGUACACCGUUCGGAAACCAAAGACACAGGCAAUGUCCCAAGACUCGAAACACCUGAAAGUGCUGCAAAAAUGCAGAAAGUGUCAACCAUGAGACAAAUAUUCGAUUUGGCGAAACUUAGAACGAAAAGAUCGGCACUGGUCCCAGCUGAGGUGAAUGUCUGCCCACAGGAGUCCCUGAAACAGCUUUUAGCAAGUGUUCAAGCUUUCUACAGAUGGAGAGGUACGAACUGAGAUGAGACCUGUUGAGCCCUUCACCAUCUUCACCCCUUCUCUCUGAUUCAUCCGUAGGCUGUUCUCUGCCCCACAUUCACAGGGUCCCUCAGCUACAAAAGGUAUAAAAAUCAGCAGUGAAUCUAAGUGCAGUGAGCCAUCAGCAUGCACAACUAUGUUCAUAUCAGCUUGUGCCCUCAAAAUAAAGAGAUAUAGUCAGACACCGGAGACUGUCAUUUUCUAUAAAUGUAUUUACUGCAGAAAAAAACACAUUGCCAUUAAUCGCCCUCAAAAAAUUCCCUCACUUCAAACACACUUAUCCCGUUACUCUUGCCAUCCUCCGAAGAAACUCCUGGAAGUCCUCCUUCGUGAGCCUCUUUAGUUGCACUGUUGUAGCUGCCUCAAUGUCCUGAAUUGAUUCAAAGCAUUUACCUUUCAUAGUGAUUUUGACAGUGGGGAAACAUCAACAGUUGCCUGGUGCCAGAUCCAAGGAGUAAGGGAUGAGGACGCUCUGCCACGUUUUCAGGAGCCCGCCUUUCCUUCAGAUGGCACUCGGCAGCAGCGUUCACUGUGUUUUUAUCGCAUCUCAUAAAGACGCGCAUCCAAGCAGACUUCCAGAACCACUUCAGAAAGCGGCGAGGACCAUGGCAUAAGUGUGUUCCAGUAUCUUAAGCAAGGUUAAUGGUAGCAUAGCUUGUACUGCGAUCAAUUUCUAAAAAUUAAGUGUUCACUGUACAUUUUGAUCUCUCCUUGUAUCUGCG
rnacentral:lncRNA from 1 species